rnacentral:rRNA from 1 species
GUGCCAGCCGCCGCGGUAAUACGUAGGUGGCGAGCGUUGUCCGGAAUUACUGGGUGUAAAGGGCGUGUAGGCGGGGAAGCAAGUCAGAUGUGAAAUUCCGGGGCUCAACCUCGGCGUUGCAUCUGAAACUGUUUUUCUUGAGUGCUGGAGAGGAAAGCGGAAUUCCUAGUGUAGCGGUGAAAUGCGUAGAUAUUAGGAGGAACACCAGUGGCGAAGGCGGCUUUCUGGACAGUAACUGACGCUGAGGCGCGAAAGCGUGGGGAGCAAACAGGAUUAGAUACCCUGGUAGUCCACGCCGUAAACGAUGGAUACUAGGUGUAGGAGGUAUCGACCCCUUCUGUGCCGGAGUUAACACAAUAAGUAUCCCACCUGGGGAGUACGGCCGCAAGGUUGAAACUCAAAGAAAUUGACGG